CCUACGGGAGGCAGCAGUGGGGGAUAUUGCACAAUGGGGGGAACCCUGAUGCAGCGACGCCGCGUGGGUGAAGAAGCGCCUCGGCGCGUAAAGCCCUGUCAGCAGGGAAGAAAAUGACGGUACCUGAAGAAGAAGCCCCGGCUAACUACGUGCCAGCAGCCGCGGUAAUACGUAGGGGGCAAGCGUUAUCCGGAUUUACUGGGUGUAACGGGGGCGCAGACGGCGAUGCAAGCCAGGAGUGAAAGCCCGGGGCCCAACCCCGGGACUGCUCUUGGAACUGCGUGGCUGGAGUGCAGGAGGGGCAGGCGGAAUUCCUGGUGUAGCGGUGAAAUGCGUAGAUAGCAGGAGGAACACCGGUGGCGAAGGCGGCCUGCUGGACUGCAACUGACGUUGAGGCCCGAAAGCGUGGGGAGCAAACAGGAUUAGAUAUCCGAGUAGUC
rnacentral:rRNA from 1 species